UACGAAGGGUGCAAACGUUAUUCGGAAUCACUGGGCGUAAAGGGUGCGUAGACGGUAUGUUAAGUUCGUCGUUAAAGGCUCCGGCCUAACCGGAGUACCGCGAUGAAAACUGGCGCACUAGAGGGUGAGAGAGAGAAGUGGAAUUCCUGGAGUAGCGGUAAAAUGCGUGGAUCUCAGGAGGAACACCAAUGGCGAAGGCAGCUUCUUGGCUCAUUCCUGACGUUGAGGCACGAAAGCGUGGGGAGCAAAC
rnacentral:rRNA from 1 species